UACGGGGGGAGCAAGCGUUGUUCGGAUUUACUGGGCGUAAAGGGCUCGUAGGCGGCCAACUAAGUCAUACGUGAAAUCCCUCGGCUUAACCGGGGAACUGCGUCUGAUACUGGAUGGCUUGAGUUCGGGAGAGGGAUGCGGAAUUCCAGGUGUAGCGGUGAAAUGCGUAGAUAUCUGGAGGAACACCGGUGGCGAAGGCGGCAUCCUGGACCGACACUGACACUGAGGAGCGAAAGCCAGGGGAGCAAACGGG
rnacentral:rRNA from 1 species